rnacentral:rRNA from 1 species
GAUGAACGCUGGCGGCGUGCCUAAUACAUGCAAGUCGAGCGAACGGACGAGAAGCUUGCUUCUCUGAUGUUAGCGGCGGACGGGUGAGUAACACGUGGAUAACCUACCUAUAAGACUGGGAUAACUUCGGGAAACCGGAGCUAAUACCGGAUAAUAUUUUGAACCGCAUGGUUCAAAAGUGAAAGACGGUCUUGCUGUCACUUAUAGAUGGAUCCGCGCUGCAUUAGCUAGUUGGUAAGGUAACGGCUUACCAAGGCAACGAUGCAUAGCCGACCUGAGAGGGUGAUCGGCCACACUGGAACUGAGACACGGUCCAGACUCCUACGGUAGGCAGCAGUAGGGAAUCUUCCGCAAUGGGCGAAAGCCUGACGGAGCAACGCCGCGUGAGUGAUGAAGGUCUUCGGAUCGUAAAACUCUGUUAUUAGGGAAGAACAUAUGUGUAAGUAACUGUGCACAUCUUGACGGUACCUAAUCAGAAAGCCACGGCUAACUACGU